UACGGGGGGAGCAAACGUUGUUCGGAAUCACUGGGCGUAAAGGGCGUGUAGGCGGCUGGAUAAGUGGGAUGUUAAAUCCCCCGGCUCAACCGGGGACCUGCAUCUCAUACUGUUCAGCUCGAGCACAUCAGAGGAGACUGGAAUUCCCGGUGUAGCGGUGAAAUGCGUAGAUAUCAGGAGGAACACCGAUGGCGAAGGCAGGUCUCUGGGCAUUAACUGACGCUGAGGAGCGAAAGCAUGGGGAGCGAACAGG
rnacentral:rRNA from 1 species